GUCCUACGGGGGGCAGCAGUGAGGAAUAUUGGUCAAUGGGCGGAAGCCUGAACCAGCCAAGUCGCGUGAGGGAAUAAGGCCCUACGGGUCGUAAACCUCUUUUGCCGGGGAGCAACGGCGGGGACGUGUCCCGGGACGGAGAGUACCCGGAGAAAAAGCAUCGGCUAAUUCCGUGCCAGCAGCCGCGGUAAUACGGAGGAUCCGGGCGUUAUCCGGAUUUAUUGGGUUUAAAGGGUGCGUAGGCGGGCUUUUAAGUCAGCGGUAAAAAUUCGGGGCUCAACCCU
rnacentral:rRNA from 1 species